GCGCACCAGGCGAGAAACUUUACAAUGUGCGAAAGCACGAUAAGGGAACUCUGAGUGCCUCCUAAGGAGGCUGUUCAGGUGUCUAAAAGCACCUGAAGGAAGGGCUGGGUAAGACCGGUGCCAGCCGCCGCGGUAACACCGGCAGCCCAAGUGGUAGCCACGUUUAUUGGGUCUAAAGCGUCCGUAGCCGGCUGGGUAAGUUCCUUGGGAAAUUUGGCUGCUUAACAGUCAAGCUUUCAGGGAAUACUGCCCGGCUUGGGACCGGGAGAGGUCAGAGGUACUCCAGGGGUAGGGUGAAAUCCAUUAAUCCUUGGGGGACCACCGGUAGCGAAGGCGUCUGACCAGACCGGGUCCGACGGUGAGGGACGAAGGCUAGGGGGCGCGAACCGGAUUAGUACCCCCGUAGU
rnacentral:rRNA from 1 species